UUCAACGGAGAGUUUGAUCCUGGCUCAGGACGAACGCUGGCGGCGUGCUUAACACAUGCAAGUCGAGCGGAAAGGCCCUUCGGGGUACUCGAGC
rnacentral:rRNA from 2 species